AAAAAAAAAAAGAAAAACCAGCAGUAAAGGAGGAAAAGGAACAUCUUCCCCAAGCCAGAGCACAUGGAUAAUGUAACUGUGACACAGACACCCUCCCACGGGCUGCAGCUCCUACAAGAAAAGCAAGUAGCUGCUGAGCACAAGCACGUCCAUAUGGGAGGGGGAUGUUUUAAGUGCUGACACAGAUUUGGCUGACAAACGUGGUGCUGGCACACUGUCUCCUCUGAAAUAACAAAUGCUGCCGCAAAACGUGCUCUGCACUGCUGUGUCUGUCCCUGUGCACUGUGAAAGUGGCUCCCAGGGAGUUCACCCAUGAAGCUGAGAGUUCCAAAAAUCAAGACCUUUUGUUUGAAGUUUGGUCCUUUGGAAACGGCAGUCCUGCCAUUCCAGGUGACCUGGUGGUGUCCAUAGGGCAAUGCCAGCACAGACCCAUUCACAGCAAGAGGACAAUAGAUUCUUAAAUUAAUCUGAUUUUUUUCCCACAUGUUCUUACAGACACAUAAAUAAUGGGAUUAUUCCUUGCAAUUCCAGGAGAAGAGUAAUUUUGUCCUGUGCUGCAGCUCCCUGCCUACCUUGACAGAAGUCUGCUUUCCUGCUCUGAUCUCUAUGGUCAAGGUGUAGCUUAUCUUGGAAAGUGGAAUUGUGCUGCAGGGAGGGAACAAGGUUUUGGCAGGGCAAGGAGAACACCCAGAUACUGGCAGACAUUGAUGAGGACCCCUCUCAGUCAUAACUUCUCAAGGCUGAACAGCUCCAGCUCCCUCAGUCUUCCCUUGUGAGAGAGAUGUUCCAAUUCCUUUAUCAUCUUUGUAUCACUCUGUUGGAUCUGCUCCAAGAACUCCAUGUUUCUCUUGUACUGAGGAGCCCAGAACUGGACACAGCAUUCCAGAUAUGGCCGCACUAGAGGUGGAGGGGCAAGAUUUUGCCCUGCUGCCAAUGCUCUUCCUAAUGCAUCUCAGGAUACCAGUGGCCUUCUUGGUUCCCAGGGCACACUGCUGGCUAAGGGACAGUGUCUUGUUCACCAAGACUCCCUGGUCCUUCUCUGCAGAGCUGCUUCCCAGCAGGUUGACCCCCAGCAGGUUGGCCCCCAUCAGGUACUGGUGCAUGGAGUUAUUCUUCCCCAGGUGCACCAUCAUGGUAGAUGUUCAGGGAUUUAAACCACCAGACGGUGAUGGGCAGGAUUUGAGAAGAGAAAGGCAAAUAACACAAGCUUUAAAAAAUCACCAGUGAAACCACAGAGACAUAUCACAGAGAGGGGGGGAGCAGUUCUGGAGGCCCCCAGCCCCACAGUGACACCAUGCAGAGUAUAGGAGCAAGUGCCCCAGCAGCCCUACUUCAUGCUGCAGACAGAAAUAUCCAGGAUCCCCCCUUUCUGCCCAGCCCAAUCAGGAGGUGGCACAAGACCCAACGCUCUGCCAUGCACUUUGUAGUCUGAUGCCACCUCCUCCUUGGUGGGGCAAAAGGCUCUGUGUCACCAGCCUCAUGCUGCCAAGGCCACUGAACUCAGGAAAUUUAAUAAAAGCAGUGAGAACCAAUUGUGUUGCGAGUGUCAGGGAGGUGGCCCCCACCAUGCUGCUGCACCAUGUUGUCACAGCCACCAAGAGGGCAGAGUUCCUAGGAGAGCCAGAGGACACAGUGCUUCCUUCCCAGCAAGCUUCCGAAAAUCCAGCAGCUUGUUGGUGCUGAGGAGCUGCAUAGGAGGGGCACGAAAACCUCCAAAAAACCACCAGCCUCAGGGAAUGUGGUGAGGGAUGAGCAGGAAGAGGGGAUGCAGAGAGCAGCCUCCCUCCCAGCCCAGUGAUGUGUCCCUCACACAGUGAGGUGGGGACAGCGGAAAUCCUGGGACAAGGCACAGCCAGUUAGGCAGAGCAACUCACAGGGUGGUUUAGCAUUCCCUGUCACACCCAUCCGGUGUGGGAACAUUUGGGAACAUGGCCUGGUCACCACAGCUGCUGCAAUCUGCUUCCAGUGCUGGACAUGGGUCCUUACUGGUCCAAACUGGAAGUCAGGGCCUAGAUAACCAACAGCAGCUAGAGAUGGGAAAUGUGUGGAUUUACACACGCACACACACACACACACACACACACACACAGGGUUGUUUCCAUUCCCAGGGCAGCCCCAGUUUUGGUGGCCCGCAUCAUGUGUGGCCACCUCCUGCUACCUUGGGUGAUGCAUCCCAUGCCCAGCAGCCAAAUUUUGGCAACAUUUGGCUGAGUUGCAGGGCCAGAAAUCACAAUUAUUUCCCAUUACAUCCCCUGUCACCCUCCAGGCAAUUAUGCUGACACCCAACACCCAGGGCACUGGGGCCCAAUAAACACCCUUACAGCAACACAGAUGCUCUUUAAAGAUUUUUAUUUCUGCUUUAAAAUCAAAAUUAGUCAUUCUCUGUAAUUACAUUAUAUAUAGAUUUAUAGAGACAAUAUAGAAAAGAAUUUUUUGCUUUUGUUUUUCUGCAAAAAUCU